CGCCCUCCGAAGUUAGGCUAACCACUUCUGGUGCAGUCCACUCCCAUGGUGUGACGGGCGGUGUGUACAAGGCCCGGGAACGUAUUCACCGUGCCAUUCUGAUGCACGAUUACUAGCGAUUCCGACUUCACGGAGUCGAGUUGCAGACUCCGAUCCGGACUGAGACCGGCUUUAUGAGAUUAGCUCCACGUCGCCGCUUUGCAACCCAUUGUACCGGCCAUUGUAGCACGUGUGUAGCCCUACCCGUAAGGGCCAUGAUGACUUGACGUCGUCCCCACCUUCCUCCGGUUUGUCACCGGCAGUCUCCCUAGAGUUCCCGACCGAAUCGCUGGCAAAUAGGGACAAGGGUUGCGCUCGUUACGGGACUUAACCCAACAUUUCACAACACGAGCUGACGACAGCCAUGCAGCACCUGUCUGUGCGCUCCCGAAGGCACCAAUCCAUCUCUGGAAAGUUCGCACGAUGUCAAGGGUAGGUAAGGUUCUUCGCGUUGCAUCGAAUUAAACCACAUGCUCCACCGCUUGUGCGGGCCCCCGUCAAUUCAUUUGAGUUUUAACCUUGCGGCCGUACUCCCCAGGCGGUCGACUUAGUGCGUUAACUGCGCCACAAAGGUCUCGAGGACCCCAACGGCUAGUCGACAUCGUUUACGGCGUGGACUACCAGGGUAUCUAAUCCUGUUUGCUACCCACGCUUUCGUACCUCAGCGUCAGUGUCAGUCCAGAAGGCCGCCUUCGCCACUGGUAUUCCUCCCGAUCUCUACGCAUUUCACCGCUACACCGGGAAUUCUACCUUCCUCUCCUGCACUCUAGCCUAACAGUUCCGGAUGCCGUUCCCAGGUUGAGCCCGGGGCUUUCACAACCGGCUUAUCAAGCCGCCUACGCACGCUUUACGCCCAG
rnacentral:rRNA from 1 species